UACAUGGGGUGCAAACGUUGCUCGGAAUUAUUGGGCGUAAAGCGCGCGUAGGCGGUUACUCAAGUCGGAUGUGAAAGCCCUCGGCUUAACUGAGGAAGUGCACCCGAAACUGAGUAGCUAGAGUACUAAAGAGGGUCGCGGAAUUCCCGGUGUAGAGGUGAAAUUCGUAGAUAUCGGGAGGAACACCAGUGGCGAAGGCGACUUCCUGGCCUGUUCUUGACGCUGAGGCGCGAAAGCUAGGGGAGCAAACAGG
rnacentral:rRNA from 1 species